rnacentral:sRNA from 1 species
GUCUCUUCAAACGCAUUUUCUUACCCACUGAAGACAUAUGUAGAGUGUGUCGGUCAGAAGGAACACCUGAGAAACCGCUUUAUCAUCCUUGUGUAUGUACUGGCAGUAUUAAGUUUAUCCAUCAAGAAUGCUUAGUUCAAUGGCUGAAACACAGUCGAAAAGAAUACUGUGAAUUAUGCAAGCACAGAUUUGCUUUUACACCAAUUUAUUCUCCAGAUAUGCCUUCACGGCUUCCAAUUCAAGACAUAUUUGCUGGACUGGUUACAAGUAUUGGCACUGCAAUACGAUAUUGGUUUCAUUAUACACUUGUGGCCUUUGCAUGGUUGGGAGUUGUUCCUCUUACAGCAUGCCGCAUCUACAAGUGCUUGUUUACUGGCUCCGUGAGCUCACUACUGACGCUGCCAUUAGAUAUGCUGUCAACGGAAAAUUUGUUGGCAGAUUGUUUGCAGGGUUGUUUUGUGGUGACGUGCACACUGUGUGCAUUCAUCAGCCUGGUGUGGUUGAGAGAGCAGAUAGUCCAUGGGGGAGCACCAAUUUGGUUGGAGCAUGCUGCCCCACCCUUCAAUGCUGCGGGGCAUCACC